GAUGAACGCUGGCGGCGUGCCUAAUACAUGCAAGUCGAGCGAACGGACGAGAAGCUUGCUUCUCUGAUGUUAGCGGCGGACGGGUGAGUAACACGUGGAUAACCUACCUAUAAGACUGGGAUAACUUCGGGAAACCGGAGCUAAUACCGGAUGAUAUUUUGAACCGCAUUGUUCAAAAGUGAAAGACGGUCUUGCUGUCACUUAUAGAUGGAUCCGCGCUGCAUUAGCUAGUUGGUAAGGUAACGGCUUACCAAGGCAACGAUGCAUAGCCGACCUGAGAGGGUGGUCGGCCACACUGGAACUGAGACACGGUCGAGACUCCUACGGGAGGAAGCAGUAGGGAAUCUUACGCAAUGGGCGAAAGCCUGACGGAGCAACGCCGCGUGAGUGAUGAAGGUCUUCGGAUCGUAAAACUCUGUUAUUAGGGAAGAACAUAUGUGUAAGUAACUGUGCACAUCUUGACGGUACCUAAUCAGAAAGCCACGGCUAACUACGUG
rnacentral:rRNA from 1 species